rnacentral:rRNA from 1 species
UCGGGAAUUUUCCACAAUGGGCGAAAGCCUGAUGGAGCAACGCCGCGUGCAGGAUGAAGGCCUUCGGGUUGUAAACUGCUUUUAUGAGUGAAGAAUAUGACGGUAACUCAUGAAUAAGGAUCUGCUAACUACGUGCCAGCAGCCGCGGUCAUACGUAGGAUCCAAGCGUUAUCCGGAUUUACUGGGCGUAAAGAGUUGCGUAGGUGGCUUGUCAAGCAAGGUAUGAAAGCGUGUGGCUCAACCACAUAUCCAUGCCUUGAACUGAUAAGCUAGAGCACGAGAGAGGUAACUGGAAUUCCUAGUGUAGGGGUGAAAUCCGUAGAUAUUAGGAGGAACACCGAUGGCGUAAGCAGGUUACUGGCUCGUUGCUGACACUCAGGCACGAAAGCGUGGGGAGCGAACGGGAUUAGAUACCCCUGUAGUCC